rnacentral:rRNA from 1 species
GAUGAACGCUGGCGGCGUGCCUAAUACAUGCAAGUCGAACGCACAGCGAAAGGUGCUUGCACCUUUCAAGUGAGUGGCGAACGGGUGAGUAACACGUGGAUAACCUACCUCAAGGGUUGGGGAUAACAUUUGGAAACAGAUGCUAAUACCGAAUAAAACUUCGUAUCGCAUGAUACAAGGUUAAAGGCGCUACGGCGUCACCUAGAGAUGGAUCCGCGGUGCAUUAGUUAGUUGGUGGGGUAAAGGCCUACCAAGACAAUGAUGCAUAGCCGAGUUGAGAGACUGAUCGGCCACAUUGGGACUGAGACACGGCCCAAACUCCUACGGGAGGCUGCAGUAAGGGAAUCUUCCACAACGGGCGAAAGCCUGAUGGAGCAACGCCGCGUGUGUGAUGAAGG